rnacentral:rRNA from 1 species
UACGAAGGGGGCUAGCGUUGCUCGGAAUCACUGGGCGUAAAGCGCACGUAGGCGGCUUCUUAAGUCAGGGGUGAAAUCCUGGAGCUCAACUCCAGAACUGCCUUUGAUACUGUGGAGCUUGAGUCCGGGAGAGGUGAGUGGAACUGCGAGUGUAGAGGUGAAAUUCGUAGAUAUUCGCAAGAACACCAGUGGCGAAGGCGGGUCACUGGGCCAAAACUGACGCUGAGGAGCGAAAGCGUGGGGAGCGAACAGG